GAUAGCACUCGGACUAUUGCAAAUAGACACAGAAAUACAGCAUUCUCCUUCAUCACAGAGAGGAGAAACAGCAGGCGAGUGCAGACAUCUGAUUACUUAAAUAAAGUAAAAUUCAGUAUGAGUUCUAAUGAGUGGGAUUAUAAUUUGGUUUGACUAAGCAGCCAUGCGUGUUUCCCUGCAGACAACAAUAUCCAGACAAGGGUGGUCUUAAUUCGUUGCUUUUAGAAAUCCCAUGUCAAUUAUGGGACAUCAUAUCAGGUUCCAUGAGAUUGAAUCCUUGAGACAAUGGAGUUUACCCGUGUUUCUGAGAUGCAGCUUGGCAGGAAGAGUCCACUAUGGAGAGAGAGAG